rnacentral:rRNA from 4 species
UUGACCUUGGAUCAGGUAGGGAUACCCGCUGAACUUAAGCAUAUCAAUAAGCGGAGGA